GUCAAGAGAGGAGUGGCAUACAGCCCUGCUUUUACACAGGCUUCCUAAAUGCUUUGAGAUUUCUCAGCUGAACUGCAGAACAUAUGGCCACGUUGGCAUCUGUAGCAGGAUACUCUGUCUAAGUGGGGGUAAAACAGCUCAAAUUUUCUCCCAUUUGCAAAAGGUAUCAGUGAUGGAUGGAGAAGGUGGAUCAUGCUGCUUCAGGUGUUUGGAAAUGCUGAGACCAGCCUGACUUCACAACCCCAAAGCUAAACCUUCUGGGGACAUGAAAAACAGUCUUGCCUGAGAGAAAUCAGCACUGCUGAGGAUGUGGCACACAAAGUUCCUGAUAAAGGAAGCAACAAGUGAUAGCACUGAUAACUUAUCUGAGGCUGCUGAGCUGGCAAGGGAGCCUAGAAACAUCUGACUGACAGUCAAUCACUUUAUACUAUAAAAGCUCAGUUCCAUUUUUUAAUGGCAGGGACUUCAACACUUUCCUUCUGGAUACAUUUGUGGCAAUUCCUCCCUUGACUGGGGACACCCCUCAAGGCUAUUCCUUCAGGCCAAGUGGAAGAGAUUUGCCCCCAGUGUUGAUAUGGAUAAAAAAAAUCUUUUGACUAUUUUGAAGAGCACUACUGCUGGAUAGAGCAGAGAGAAAAGUGACAGCUUCUCUCACAGACAGCAUUCAAACUAUAAAAGACCAAAGCUUUCAGAGUGAAGAUAAACAUCUUUAGCAGCACUCAAAAAAUUAAAACUGGUGUCAGCAUCACCACUUCCUAUGGGUAAUUACCCUGUCGAACCAAUAUCCUUUCCUGCCUGCCAAGUCUGGUUAGAACUUCUGACCUGCAUUUUAAUCUCCAUCCUUAUGUCAACUAGACGGUGUAAAAUAACAUCACACUACCCAGGUUACAAAGGAGAUGUUCUAUACAAGCCUGCAAUCAAAAAUACUGCACUGUAUCCCACAGCAAACCUCCAUAUGUAUACAACAGGAAGGAUGAAAGUACUGGAUGCUGAAGUCUACCAUCACCAAAGAACUCAAGACAGAAAACAAGUUUCCUUUUAUUUCACAAAGACGGGAAGGCAAUCACAUAAGAGGUGUUUUGUUGUGGUUUUUUUUCCCUUUCAAACUGCACAGUUCAAAUGAAGUGGUGGUACAUUAUAAUUGCCUUUUCCAAGCAGCCUAUUCAAUUUUCAGGGUACUGAUAAAGACUCUGCUAAAGUGCUAUCUAUGGUGGAUGUUUUGUGAUGUGAGCAGCAGUCCCACUAGGAAGGGGACAAAGGGUAUGGAUGCAGCCUCUUUGCAGGGAUAUUCAAGUUCACCUCGUAUUCAAGUAGGCUCCCAUUUGCCCAGGAGUGACAGGGAUGUGUGCAGCACGGCGUGAAGUCUGAGCUAAUGUAUCCUCCCUUUCUGCAGGGAUAGCAGCUCUCAGGAUAGUGCUUCACAGGAGUGGUCACUCAGCCUUUGAUGUGAGGCAGCUGGGGUCUUGGAGGUGUCAGGGAAGACUCAAACCUCCCUGCAAAAUGAGAUACCUCAAGAUAUGCCAGGCCCAACUAACAUCUUAAUUAGACAGCAAGAAGUAAUGUCUUUUUUACAUGAAUCAGCCUUAAAUGUCUUCCCAUAAAAAAUUAAAAGCGAUAUAAUUCCACUAACCAUGGCUUGAGCUCCCCACUCCUUUCUGUUUCUAAUGAAACUCUUUGUAGGAGACAAAUUUGCCAUGGGAAAUGACCAGAUCUCAUAGGACAGGUGAGUUAAUAAAGCCCUUUGAAAAGAUAAUAUCUUUUACUAGGCAGGACAGUUGAGUGAAUUCUUCAGAGCAAACACAAUUUUUGAUUAAUAUUUAUUGCUUGUAGAGUUGGUUAUAGCCAUCAUAAUUUUCUCUGACUUCUCCUAUACUCAGCAUUAUUCCACAAUGUGCAACUUGUUUUCAGACCACAUAUAACCUGUGUUAUUUGACUGAGAUUGGGGAUAAUUUGAUUUUGGCACAAGGAUGACAUCAUCUUCCACUUCUUGACACAACUGACACCUAAAUCUUACAGAUGCUUCUCCAGUUAAUAAUUUGCUGUUUUCAUUUCACCAAUGUUCUCUAGCAUUUGUGAAGUAAUUACUGCUCUCAGAGUGAUUGCUACAAAUUUCAUCAAAAACAUAAGGGGUGCAACUUUGUUCUUACUUGCCUUAUACUGACAUCUAGAGAAAAAUAUUCCUUAGCUAUUGCUUUUAAAUAUCUUGCAGAGCAUGGAAUGUGGCUCACCUGUGACCUUAUUCACCAUGUGGAAGAAUUUUCCCAGUCUAAAUUUAGUAACAAAAAGUAUUUUUCAAAUCAUGCAAAUUGUACAGUACAUUUUCCACUUCCACCAGAAAGCCUGUUGUAGAAGUGUCCCUUUAGUGGAGGGAAAAAUAAUAAUUCUUUAACUGUUUUUCUGUUUUCUGCAAUUCAUCCUCCCUUUACUUUUACUGUUUAUAUCUCCCCAUAUAAGAACAUUCCCUGUACCUGAUCAUCAUUUUUCAGAAUGUCCCAUUAUCUUCUGAAAUUGAAUCACCCUUUUCACUGCUGGGGCUUAUGGGGAUUACCAAGCCUGACAAAUAACUUUAUAUUUAUAAACACACAACUCAGGCUUCCUCAGAGAAGGAGGGAACUUCAGAUUUAUGUUUUUAGGAGUCUUGCACUAGGUAUUUUGCAGAUUUUAAAACAGUCUUCGCCCAAAUGACAAUCCUAAAAUUCUCUAUAAGGGUAUAUGCCAUUAAGCUAAUGAGAACAUUAAUGGUGGCAGUAUUUUCAGACAGACACAUUCUAUCCCUCUUUCCUGUCUUUUCCUGAUAGAAAAAAGUGAUAGAUGAUGCUCAUCUACAGAGUAUUGGUACUUCUGAGUCGCCAUUGGGAGGAAUGCACUCAGCUGCAUCUUCCAAGCUUUUCACUUGCAUUUUAACUCUAGAAUAUGCUACAGCCCAGGCUCAACUAAUGCCAUUGUCAGGGUGCUGGGCAUCUCCUUUUCAGCCUUGUUCCCUGUGACCCAGCUCACAGGCACACAGCUCAGCUCUUCAGCUCAGAUUGCAGACUCCUGCUUCGAGCCCAUCAUGUGUCCACCUCAGUCCCUGGGGCUGGCCCUGAGCCAAUCAACUACAGUUGUGCUCCAGUAUUCCUCAGUUUGCUCACAGCACAAGUCAUGUCUCAGAAAAAAACCAAAGUACAAUUUGUUCUCCACAGGAGAAAAGCAAGUCACAAAGCAAAUGUGCUUUGAAAAACAGAAUACAUUUCCAGAGACAUAAUUUUGAAAAAUAUUAAUUACUGUAUAUGUUUCUUAUAGUAGGGAUUAGAUUAUAUUUGUCUUCUAUAGGUUCCUUUCACUAUCUUCUUCCCUUCACUUUUCUUCCCAGGAAAUACCUCCUCCACUGCAGGUAAGAACACCUAUUGUGUAUCUAAUUAAAAUUCUAGUCACAGGCUAAUUAGUAAAGUACCAAUUAGAGUGGGAUUAAGGCUUCAAUAUAUUACAGACAUUCCAAAGCAGAAAUCUUUCCAAGUGUGAGGUUUCCAGCCUCUGAAAAAGAUACUGUGAAUGUUUCCUUUUUACCCACGUUUCAAGCUGAAAACUUUUAUGAUAUUAGUAGUGCUAGAAAGAAAAUAAUAAAUAAACAAAUAAUAUAGUUUGAUUGGAACUAUUUUGACUACAAUUUCAUAUUCAUGCUUAUCAUGUAUCAGAAGCAUAAUUGGUCUAUUUUUUAAUAUACUUUUCUGGUUUAUAAAAUGUGGGUGGGAAUAUCAUGUAAUAUGCAUAACAUGAGAGCUAAAUGCCUCAUUUAUCUUUCCUUUCCUGUUGUGCUGCUUGGAUUAUGAGCACUACAAUAAACUUUCUCACAAAUAA